GCACAUAAUUGUUGCAUCUGAAGCAUUUUCCUCUUGGUAAUUGGCAUAAAGCUGCUAAUAUGAUUUGUUUUUUUUUUAAAAGUUCUUUCUAGUUCUCAGUUAAUCUGUGAUUGGUUUCUUCGGGUAGCCGGACCAAUGUGUAUAUGCAUGUGAAACAAGGUAAGAUAAUGUUCUUCCUAAGUGCCUUCUAGAUCAUAAUUCCAUAAUUAUGUUAUCUUAUUUAGCAUGCUCAUGCUCACCGAAAUUCAGUUGCAUCUAAACACAGAAUAACGAUAUCAUAAUUCCAGCCAAUCACCUUGCAAUCCAGAGAGCAGUGGAAAUAGGGUUCUUGGAGGCUUCUAUCGCAAGAGGUGCAGAUAUUCCCUGACCCUUUAAAUUGCCUGUUCUGUGGUCUUUUCUUCAGGAAAACGACCUUUGAGCUGUUAAUUGUGUAUGACUGCACCAUGUAGAUACAGAAUUGUAAGGCUGCAUACAUAUUAACCCUUGCACAACUAUCAAACUUGCAUGCAUGCACUAUGCAUAUUUGAUGUACCUGAACACUGGAGCAAUCGAUCAGCUUCUCAAGGUCCUCCAGCCGGACAACAUCAUGGUAGACGUAGCGCCGCACCUGCAGUAGCCUGUGCACACGGUGUGCUGCCACACAGUGUGGGCAGAUGCUGGUGCAGCAGUCAAGGCAACAGAUGUUCUUCUCAUUCUUCUUCGCAUGCUCAUGGAAAGAGCAUGCUAUGAAGAACUUCUGUGUGUUCAGGGCCUCUAACCAUGCUGGCUUCCACAUAGCCUGCUGAGGUUGCGAAAUUCCAAGUAAAUUUUCAAUUGAUAGAGAGAAUUUUCAUGAUAGUAUGAAGAAGUUUGGAAUCCUCACCAUGAUCAUGUGUGUUGUUGAUGUGAAAUCCUUUGGUGUUGUGUGUGGUUUUGGCUGGGUGAGGGUGAGGGUGAGGUGCUGUGAGGAAGGAGGAUACGUACAACUUAUGAAGGAUGAGAGGAGGGGGUGUUUAGUGGGAUAAGAAGGAUUAAAGAUUCAACCAUAGACGGGGGGCUAUAUAUUUGCACCACUAGGGCUUUUGACAUUUGACUCCUUAAUCUCUGGCACUAUCAUGGAAUGCACCUUGCUUUAUGAAAGGGUAGUGAUAGCCAUGUGUAGUUAACUUUGUGCAUCUUAUUAAGAACAUGUUCCGGAAUUGCCGUUGUAGGUGCUGGAUGUGAUAUUAUGAUAAUCAAAUACUACAUUUUACAAAAUUUAGUUUUUUAUUGGACCAUUUAUCUUAAGAGGUUAGAGUUGAUUCAAAAAUUCCAAUAAAAUUCUCUGAGAUUAUAGAAAAAUUGCCACAAAAGGUUUUUUUUCCUCUUAGAGAAAAGUCAACUAAUCUAUCAUGAUUUUGUCAGGUUCAACUCAAAACAGUACUGAAAUUCAAAGAAUUUACAUUUUACAAGACUGUUCAGGAUUGGCUAGUGAAGCAUAAAUCAAGUUCGCCCCAUUUAGAUUUGCUUGACCGCAAUCAUACAAUUUCAUAUGCAAUUUAGGUGACAUGGUAAAUUAUUGUUUGCGUUAUUAAUUAAUUUACCAUUCUAUCUUCUCCUUUAGAAAUUAUGACAGACUACCAUUCAAACAGAUAAAAUGUGCAAUCAACUGUUAACAUGGUUUAUGUGGGUAAAGGCUUUAUGUAGAAUUUUAGUCACUUGGGAUAUUACUCCUCAGCAACAUAUAUUGUCUCUCUUUUUUCCAACAAUAAACAAGAAAUGUUCACAAAUGCUCAUUUCUGGUGGCAUUGCAACAUGGAAAGGUCUGGUGUUUUAACAUUAAAAUCUGCUGCAUCUCUUGGGGAUUGGACCAAUGUGCAUGACUUGUACAUAGUGAGCCAACAAAGCAUACAAAAACAAUUAUAUAAAGGGUAGAAAGGGAGGUGGGGAGGUGAGGAGAACGUGGAUGCUGUUUCUAGUGUUUCCCAAUCCUUGUCCAAACUUUUUAACUUAUGACCAAAGCUCCAAUCUCUAGUCUUGGCUAUAGAGCUCACCACUCUUAAACAAAUGCAGUGCCCAAGAAGCCCUUUGAUUCCUUGUUUGGAGGCUUAUGUGUGGGGGAGAGGAUGGCCUUUCUUGGGCAACACAUGCAUACAAUAUAAAUCACCAGUCUCCACUAACAAAUUACUGCCUUGGGCUUUGCCCCAUCGUGUUUGCUACAGGCUAGCUGUUGUUUUACUUGAGUUUUAUAUCUCAAAUGGUAAACUACAAAAACUCAAACCUGUUAUGCAUUCUGUGAUUAAACUUUUUUGGAACCUACAAUCUGUUUUACUCUUCAACAGUUCUUGUUUUGAAUACAAAUUUGAAUGCUAUGCAAUGGAGAUAAUACAGGUACAAAUACAAUGUAGAUUUGAACUUUUUCUUUAUGGGGUAUAUACUGUGUACUUGUGCUGUGAGACCUUUCUAACAUGGUAUAUCCAACCUUUUUGGCCUAAGUUACUACUCCUUUGCACUAAAUAGAUAAAUUGUCUCUGUUUUGGUGUUUAUACAUGCAAGAUUUCCUGAUUUCAAAAGAUAACUACUACUGCUUAAAUCUAACAGCUGUGAUUUGGCUUGACUUCUAGCCUUCCAGGUGUGGAUUUGAUGAGGACUGCAAUGGUCUGUCCCAGGUGUGCUUCUGUCAAGGUUCGCAAAAGAAUAACUUUGCAUCAUGCAUAGAGUUCAUUUUUCUGGACUGUACCGAUGGAUCAGAGUUCCUGAUGUGAUUUAUCUGACGAUGCAUCCUAAUAUUCUGAACUGCAUUGCAGAGAUUGGCCCAUUGUCCCUGAAAGGGUGAGUUGAUGGACAGCUCACCUUAAAAUGUCUGACUGGUCUUUCAACUGUGGAAGUCAAACGGAAUAUUAAGUGAUAUAUAUCAUGGCUCUAACAAAAGCAAAAACUUUUCAUCUCUGAUACCUUUUGAUAUUGUGUACCAUUCAUGCAUUUUCUCUUAAUCUUUCCAUGUUCACCUGGUCUCCAGAUACAAAGAAAGACAGUUCUUUCUCAGUUUCUUUAGAGUCUUAUUGUUUUGCCUAAAGCCGAUUAUAAACCGUAACGCUUAUCAGCGACAAAACUUAAAACUUUUAUGUGUGUGCUCUUAGCGACUUAAAAACCAAUGCUGGAAAAAUAACAUCAAAAUCACUCUAAAAUUAAGUUUUAAAAUUUAAUUUUGAAUGUAUCUGAUUUAAUUUUGGUUGUUUCAGGAACAGCUGUUUCAUCACUCCCUUUCUCUGCACAAUGAUGGUGUUGAAUGCAGAUGAAAUGGGGAUUAGAGGAGAAAGUGUCAGAUAAAGAAAGCAUCAGAACAUGACAUGUGAAUGAGGUACAUAAUACGUUGCCAAUGCUCUGUAUAUAUCAUCAGU
rnacentral:lncRNA from 1 species